GACGAACGCUGGCGGCGUGCUUAACACAUGCAAGUCGAGCGGUAAGGCCCUUUCGGGGGUACACGAGCGGCGAACGGGUGAGUAACACGUGGGUGACCUGCCCUCAGCUCUGGGAUAAGCCUGGGAAACCGGGUCUAAUACUGGAUAUGACUCCAUGACGCAUGUUGGUGGGGUGGAAAGCCUUGUGCGGCUGAGGAGUGGGCCCGCGGCCUAUCAGCUUGUUGGGUGGGGUGANGGCCUACCAAGGCGACGACGGGUAGCCGGCCUGA
rnacentral:rRNA from 1 species